rnacentral:rRNA from 1 species
GUGGAGCAUGUGGUUUAAUUCGAUGCAACGCGAAGAACCUUACCUUACUCUUGACAUCCAGUGAACUUAGCAGAGAUGCUUUGGUGCCUUCGGGAACACUGAGACAGGUGCUGCAUGGCUGUCGUCAGCUCGUGUUGUGAAAUGUUGGGUUAAGUCCCGCAACGAGCGCAACCCCUAUCCUUAUUUGCCAGCGCGUUAUGGCGGGAACUCUAAGGAGACUGCGGUGAUAAACCGGAGGAAGGUGGGGACGACGUCAAGUCGUCAUGGCCCUUACGGGAUGGGCUACACACGUGCUACAAUGGCAGGUACAGAGGGCAGCAAUACCGCGAGGUUGAGCGAAUCCCACAAAGCUUGUCGUAGUCCGGAUUGGAGUCUGCAACUCGACUCCAUGAAGUCGGAAUCGCUAGUAAUCGUAGAUCAGAAUGCUACGGUGAAUACGUUCCCGGGCCUUGUACACACCGCCCGUCACA